GGGGAAUAUUGCACAAUGGGGGAAACCCUGAUGCAGCAACGCCGCGUGAGUGAUGAAGGUCUUCGGAUUGUAAAGCUCUGUCUUUUGGGACGAUAAUGACGGUACCAAAGGAGGAAGCCACGGCUAACUACGUGCCAGCAGCCGCGGUAAUACGUAGGUGGCAAGCGUUGUCCGGAUUUACUGGGCGUAAAGGGAGCGUAGGCGGAUGUUUAAGUGGGAUGUGAAAUACCUGGGCUUAACUUGGGUGCUGCAUUCCAAACUGGAUAUCUAGAGUGCGGGAGAGGAAAGUGGAAUUCCUAGUGUAGCGGUGAAAUGCGUAGAGAUUAGGAAGAACACCAGUGGCGAAGGCGACUUUCUGGACCGUAACUGACGCUGAGGCACGAAAGCGUGGGGAGCAAAC
rnacentral:rRNA from 1 species